CACAUCCUGGCAAGGAGUCAGAAACCAGGUUCAUUCUAGCUCCUUCUCAAUGCCAACCCUAAAAGGCCAGGGCCCUUUUUGGGGACUUCACACCACCGAGCCGCACAGCCUUCUAAUUUGUGGAGUCCUCAAAGCAGGGACAGCCCCACAUGCAGUGUAUUGCAAUAGUUGAUCCUAGAGCUUCCAGAAGUAUGGAUGGUGGUGGCAAGACCUCUCUGUUCCAGCCUGUGUAUGAGAUGCAAUUAAUAUGUGCAUGGAGGGAAGAAAGAGGGAGUGUUUGGCACCUAGUAAGAAGCUGAGAGCCUGUUUCCUGCCCCACCCUUUUCUUCAAGUAUAUCUGACGUUUGCACGUGCCAGAGGCGUGAGCCUCUUGGUGUGAGCUAAAGGGCUCUUGUCCUGUGACUCUCGGCCUGUAAACUCAAAAGUCUUUGGGUCAGUCUGUAGCUAAACACCAUUAACUUCUGUGCAUCAGCCAGUUUGUACUAGUGUGAUGCCCAAGUAAUCUCUCUUUUUUAAAAAUUACCUCUGACUCUUUAAUUCUGUUGCUCUCAAUGUCAUUAUGAUUUGGAUUUGAAUUAAUAAAAUUUAUAAUGAACUCCUGA